CUCCGCUGUUUCUAUAUGUCUCACUCAGAGGGCUGCAACAUUUUAAAGGAAGUAAGGCCUCAUUCAUGCACGCUGCUGCAGAAAACAAAGGCUGGAGAUGGCGAUACCAUGGGAACAGGCGGUGUGGUUCAGAGAUCAUGCAAAGGCAUUGCCUCUCCCAUUUCAAAAUAAAUCCUCUGUGGGAUUGCAGAGAGCUCAAAGAAAACAGUCCAGAAGUUCUUGAUGAGCUCAUCAGAGGCAGAGCACUUUUCAUAGGAAGCACACUGAAGAGAAAGUAGAAAAACUCAGGUACUCCUUUGAAAAGCUCCUGGAGUUCCUCGGGGUGGAACAUGCUCCAGGCAUCAAGUGGACAGCCCUUAUAGAAACCUCUUGAAAAAUGUUUGAACUGUUUCUUUACGGACUUGUUGAAAACGAAGUUCACAUACAAAUCCACAUACUUCUGUCUGGGGAAAAAAAAGUUCUUUCUUUGCAAUGCACAAAAGGAACAUUUACAGCGGGGGUCACCAGACUUGGUCCUAGAAAGGCUGGUGUCCAGCAGUGUUUAGCUCUGACUUACCUCAACACACACUUGCCUUGAAGUUUCAAGUAUACCUAGCAAGACCUUGAUUAGCUAGUUGAGGUGUGUUUGAUUAGGGUUGUGUCUAAACUCUGCAGGACACCAGCGCCCCAGGAACAAGAUUUCUGACCCCAGAUCUAUAGCAUCUAUAGAUUAAUUUGCCGUUUUAUGUUGUUUUGUCAUGUAUGUAUUUCAGAAGUAAUGCAUAAUUAAAUUAAGUCUAUUAUAACAUCAA